AGCGGGUAGGGAGCUACCGGUGGAACUGAGUUUCCUCUUUAAGGGAAACGAGGACAAGGACAAGAUCCCGUCUUUUCUGCACUCAGUCGCCCCGCCCCCAACGCAAGUAGGCAUGUUUAUUGGAUGAUAAGAGGGUCAGUCAAAGUAAGGACCAACCCUCUACUGCCAAAAGACACAUACUACUCAAGGGCCCCUGACUCAGACGUUCUCACUGGUCGGAAAUGCCAUCAAUCAAGUUUCAAUCCCCGCCCCCUUCUCGCGGAAGAACUAUGGGUGCUAACCUCUCUCUCAGGCCUGCUGUCAAUCGGCUCCGCAUCCUCUAGUUCUGCACAUCCCCGGCCAUCAGAGCACGAACUUCUGGUCGGUCCGCCUGCCGUUCUUUCACCUAUAGAGCCCACCCUCUAAAGGUGUCCAAGCUGCUCCAAAGAACAAUUGAUUAACCCAACGGCUGUCUUUGGCCCUCAGAACUGUCACACCUGGCUCCGCCUCUUCCCGGACAUCAUCUGUUGCACCAGAGACUGGCGGGUCUGGAAAGAAGCUCUGAGCCCAUCCGCGUUUCUCUGUUGGACCCUGUCAGGCACAUUUAUUCUCGUCAUACUACAGAUGGGGAAACAUCCGUAAGUGGCAGAGAUGGGAUUUGAACCCAAGCCGUCUUAAGGACUGCACUGGAACGGUGUUUUUUGUUUUCUAAAAUGGGGGUAAUAAUACAUGUAAAGUGAUUAGAACAUAUAGUUAGCUCUGAAUACAUGGCAGAACUUACUGCAGUUAUGGCCUUGUUUAAGGCUCCCAGCCACCCUGUGAGUUAGGGAUCAACAUGAUCCCCCUUUUCUACAAGAAGAAACAGGUUCUGAGAGAAUAAAUGACUUGCCCAAGGCCACUCGGUACAUGGCCUAGCUGGGCUCAUGCUGUGGUCAUUUUCCUGCUAUAAACCCUUCCCAAGUUCCACACCCUACUCUGGAUGAACUCUUGGUGCAUUAAGGCUUUUGAUUCAUAAAAUUUAAAUAUAUUUCUAAGCUGGGUACGGUGGCAUGCACCUAUAGUCCCAGCUUCUCGGGGGGCUUAGGUGGGAGGAUUGCUUGAGCCCAGGAAUUCAAGUCCAGCCUGGGCAAUAUAGCAAGAACCCAUCUCUAAAAAUAAACAAAUAAGUUUCUGAACACACACAUGUCAAACCCCUGUGUGAUCUGGCCCCAACCCACCAGUCCUGCCUUAUCUUAAUGGAUUUAGGGGUUUUUAAAAUUUAUUUUUAUUUUAUUAGUAUUAUUUCAGUAGUUUUGGGGGAACAGGUGGUGUUUGGUCACAUGAAAAAGUCCUUUAGUGGUGAUUUCUGAGAUUUUGGUGCACCCAUCAUCCGAUGUGGAGUUUUUUACCCCUCACCCCCUUCCCACCCCCUCCCCCCAGUCCCCAGAGCCCAUUGUAUCAUUCUUAUGCCUUUGGGUCCUCAUAGUUUAGCUCCCACUUGUAAGAGAGAACAGGGCGGACGCGAUGGCUCACGCCUGUGAUCCCAGCACUUUGGGAGGCUGAGGCGGGUGGAUCAAUUGAGGUCAGGAGUUCCAGACCAGCCUGACCAACAUGGCGAAACCCUGUCUCUACUAAAAAUACAAAAAUUAGCCGGGCCUAGUGGUACACACCUGUAAUCCCAGCUACUUGGGAGGCUGAGGCAGGAGAAUCGCUUAAAUCCGGGAGGCAAAGGUUGCAGUGAACCGAGAUCACGCCACUGCACUCCAGACUGGACGACAGAGCGAAACUCCAUCUUAAAAAACAAAACAGAACAAAAAAGUGAGAACAUACGAUGUUUGCUUUUCCAUUCCUGAGUUACUUCAUUUAGAAUAUAAUGGUUUAAAAAAAAAAGAAUAUGAUGGUUUCUUUCCUUCCUCCCUUUCUUCCUCCUCCUCUUCUUCUUUCUCUCUCUCUCUCUCGCUCUUUCUCUCUCAGUAAAAUAACCUAAUUUAUUUUUUUAAAUUCCCAGUACCAUGUCUUAAACUUAUGAGUAAGGAAAAUAACGAUUGUUAUUCGGGGUGAUGCCCGAAUCCUCACUGCUAAUGUGAGACGAAUUUUUGAGCUGGUAAAGGUCGCCCCUAAGGUGACCAGCCUACUUUGCGGGAUGCCUAGGAGUCGCGAUCUGCCUGACACCUUUACACCUAAAAAGUAGACUGGGGGCCUGGCGCGGUGGCUCACGCCUGUAAUCCCAUCACUUUGGGAGGCUGAGGAGGGCGGAUCACGAGGUCAGGAGAUAGAGACCAUCUGGCUAACAUGGUGAAACUCCGUCUCUACUAAAAAUACAAAAAGAAAUUAGCCAGGCGUGGUGGCGGGCUCCUGCAGUCCCAGCUACUCAGGAGGCUGAGGCAGGAGAAUGGUUUGAACCCAGGAGGUGGAGCUUGCAGUGAGCCUAGAUUGCGCCACUGCACUCCAGCCCGGGCAACAGAGCGAGACUCCGUCUCAAAAAAAAAAAAGAAGUAGACUGGGGCCGGGUGCCGUGGCUCACACCUGUAAUCCUAGCAUUUUGGGAGGCCAAGGUGGGUGGAUCGCUUGAGGUCAGGAGUUCCAGACCAGCCUGACCAGCAUGGUGAAACCCGGUUUCUACUAAAAAUACAAAAAUUAGUUGGGUGUCGUGGCACACACCUGUAAUCCCAGCUGCUCUGGAGGCUGAGGCAUGAGAAUCACUUGAACCCCAUAGGCCGAGGUUGCAGUGAGCUGAGAUCGUGCCACUACCCUCCAGCCUGGGUGACAGAGUGAGACCCUGUCUCAAAAAUAAAAAAAAUAAAAAAUUUCCCAGUACCAUGACUAUAACUAAAAGGACACCAUGCCUAAUGCAGUUUGUGUGUGAUAUGCAGGGAAAACAUUUGGAGAGUGAGUAAUAAAAGGGGAUUGGAAUUUUAAAUAAGGAAAGUCCACUUUAAGAAGGUGAUGUUUACCAACGACUUGAAGGAGGUGAAGGAGUUGGAAAGAAAACAAAAAGACAAGGCUGGCUGGGCACAGUGGCUCUCACCUGUAAUCCCAACACUUUGGGAGGCCAAGGCGGGGAGACUCCUUGAGCCCAGGAGUUCCAGACUAGCCUGGGGAACAUAACAAGACUAUGGAGACUAUUUUUUUUUUUUUUUUUUUGAGACAGAGUUUCGCUCUUGUUGCCCAGGCUGGAGUGCAGUGGCACAAUCUCGGCUCACUACAACCUCCACUUCCCGGAUUCAAGCAAUUCUCCUGCCUCAGCCUCCCAAGUAGCUAGCAUUACAGGCAUGUGCCACCACGCCUGGCUAAUUUUUUCUAUUUUUUGUAGAGAUGGUGUUUCUCCACAUUGGUCAGGCUGGUCUUGAACUCCCGAUCUCAGGUGAUCCACCCGCCUUGCCCUCCCAAAGUACUGGGAUUACAGGUGUAAGCCACCAUGCAGGACCAAAAAAAUCUUUUUAAAAAAGAACAAAUAAUAAUUUGGGGUAAUGAUAAUAGCUAAAUAAGUAAAUAUAUACCACUUUUUUUUUUUUUUUUCGAGACAGGGUCUCACUCUGUCACCCAGGCUGGAGUACAGUGGCAUAAUCAUGGCUCACUGCAGCCUCGAAUUCCCGGGCCCAAGCAAUCCUUCCACCUCAGCUUCCCAAGUAGCUGGAACCACAGGUGUGCGCUACCACCUGGGUAAUUUUUUAAAUUUUCAGAGACGAGGUUUUGCCAUGUUGCCCAGGCUGGUCUCGAACUCCUGAGCUCAAUCAAUCUAUCCGCCUUGGCCUAUCAAGUGCUGGAAUUACAGGCAUGAGCCACCAUAUCCUGCCCCACCACUUUCAAUAACAGAGCCAAAACUUCGAAGUAGUGACUGCCAGGGUUCCAAAACCACCUUCCAUUUUGGGGUCCACAAUUUGAACAUUCCCCAAACCAUUGUCCCACAAUCUCAUUUUUGAAGAAGUUUUUUUUAAUUUAAAAACUUCCAUGAUUACUGUAUUAAUAUGAAGAUUAAUUCAUUCAGCCAGCCAAUGUUUACAAACAGCUAAUCUGUGUCAAACAACAUUGUAAGCACUCAGAUUAAUCCUCUCGAUAUCCUUACGAGGUAGUUAACAUCAUUAGCCCCAGUUUACAGAGGGGGAAAAUAGGAGUAUGAGGUCACACAUUUAGUAUGGAGGAAGCUGGGAUUUGAACCAAGGCAGUAUGGCUCCAGGGGACGUUACCCUAACCCCUGUGUUAGACUGUCUUGAAAGUUUUACUCGUCUUUCAAAGUUCUCUCUUCAAUUAGACACUUCCCUCAGAUCUUCAUCAAACGUCAUUUUUAAAUUUAAUUUUUUUUUAAGAGAUGGGGGUCUUGCUCUGUUGCCCAGGGUGGAAUACAGUGGCAGGGAUCAUAGCUGACUGCAGCCUUGACAUCCUGGGCUCAAGGGAUCCUCCUGCCUCAGUAGCUAGGACUACAGGUGUGCGCGCACAUACAAACACAUACACACAAAUACUAUAUUCUUCCCUGCUUCAUUUUUCUCCUCAACAUAUAUCACUAUCAUAUUAUAUAUUUUACUUUUUUUUUUUUUUGAGGCAGGGUCUCACUCUGUCACCCAGGCUGGAGUGCAGUGGCACAAUCUCAGCUCACUGCAGCCUAGACCUCUGCGAUCCUCCCACCUCAGCCUCCCAAGUAGCUGGGACCACAGGCACAUGCCACCAUGCUUAGCUAAUUUUUUGUAUUUUUAGUAGAAAUGGGGGUCUCGCCAUGUUGCCCAGGCUGGUCUUGAACUCCUGAGCUCAAGGGAUCUGCACCCCUCAGCCUCCCAAAGUUCUGGGAUUACAGGCAUGAGCCAUGGUCCCCAGCCUGUAUUUUACUUAUUUAGCUAUUAUCUUUACUCCAAAUUGUUAAUUAUUCUUUAAAUUUAUUAUCUGUCCCCUACAGAUAAUAAAUAAGCUUAAUAAAUCAAUAAGCUUCCUUCCUCUUGAAGGAAGCCCCAAGAGGGCAGGAAUUUUUGCCUGUUUUAUUCACUGCUGUAUCCCUGUCACAUAGUAGGCACUUGAUCAAUAUUUGUGAGAUGAAUGAAUAAAUGAUUGAAUGAACAAAUGAAUCCUUCUUCACACUUAUGUAUAGGUAAUGGUUGUUGAUUCCCAGCUGCUUUGCCUGGGUCCUGCGCCUUCAACUGGCCCUGGAUUCACCCCUCUGACUCACAUGCACUUGACCUCUAAAGUAUUGGCUCUGCUUACGAAUACUAACAUUUAAAAUUGGAAUCAGGCCAGGGGCGGUGGCUCACGCCUGUAAUCCCAGCUCUUUGGGAGGCUGAGGCUGGUGGAUCACUUGAGGUCAGGAGUUUUAGACCAGCCUGGCCAACAUGGUGAAACCCCGUUUCUACUAAAAUUACAAAAAUUAGCCCAGCAUGAUGGUGCUCAACUGUAGUCCCAGCUACUUGGGAGGCUGAAGCACGAGAAUCGCUUGGACCAAGAAGGCAGAGGUUGCAGUGAGCCAAGAUCGCACCACUGUACUCCAGCUGGGAUGACAGAGUGAGACUCUGUCUCAAAAAUUAAUUAAUUAAUUUAAUUUAAUUUAAUUGGAAUUAAGGCCAGUCGUGGUGGCUCAUGCCUGUAAUCCCAGCACUUUGGGAGGCCAAGGCGGGUGGAUUGCUUGAGCCCAGGAGUUUGAGACCAGCCUGGGCAACAUGGUAAAACCCUGUCCCUACUAAAAAUACAAAAAAUUAGCCAGGCAUGGUAGUGCACGACUGUAGUCCCAGCUACUCUGUCAGCUGAGGCACAAGAAUCGCUUGAACUCGGGAGGUGGAGGUUGCAGUGAGCCAAGAUCUUGCCACUGUACUCCAGCCAGGGCGACAGAGCGAUACUCCAUCUCAAAAAAAAAAAAAAAAAAAAAGGCCGGGGCGGUGGCUCACACCUGUAAUUCCAACACUUUGGGAGGCCGAGGCAGGCAGAUCACAAAGUCAAGAGAUGGAGACCAUCCUGGCCAACAUAGUGAAACUGUCUCUACUAAAAAUACAAAAAUUAGCUGGGUGUAGUGGCACGCACCUGUAGUCCCAGCUACUCGGGAGGCUGAGGCAGGAGAAUCACUUGAACCCGGGAGACAGAGAUUGCGGUGAGCCGAGAUUGUGCCACCACUGCACUCCAGCCUGGUGACAGAGCAAGACUCUGUCUCAAAAAAAAAAAAAUUUAAAAAAAAAUUGGAAUUAGACCAACUCAACUCAGGUGAAUUUUUACUGAGCAACUUUGAACCGGAGUGAAUUCUCCUGAGCCAAUUUAAUUCCUUGAUCAAUGCCAUACAGUGGUGCAGUUAACCCAAAACCAAUUUUGGCUGUCUCAUUUCUCUGAAGUUAUUUUCAUCGUGAUCAUUUUCUGGUUAAUUUUUGCAACGAUGAUUCAAUCCAUACAUUGAUUCUCUUAUCUGUGUCAAAUUCAAGCAGUAACAGCUUCCCUCAGAUAGCUCCUUGGCCUCAGGCUGCUCCUUGACCAUCUCAGGCACAUACAUUCUUGCUUCUGGAACUUGGUACUUAUUGUUCCUUCUGCCAGAAAUGCUCUUGCAUCUGUGUAGUUCAUCUCUGGCUUCCUUCACAUUUUUUUCCUUCAAGUAAUCACCUUUGCUGACUAUCCUAUUUAAAUUCAGGUUCUCCUCUCCCCCCAACUCCCUGACACCCCCCUUACCAGAUUUACUUAUUUAUUUAUUUUUGGGAUAGGGUCUUGCUCGGUCACCCAGGCUGGAGUGCAGUGGCCCGAUCUCAGCUCACUGCAACCUUUGCCUCCCGUGCUCCAGCAAUUCUCCACCUCAGCCUUCCGAGUAGCUGGAAUUACAGGCGUGUGACACCAUGCCCAGCCCAGUUGCCCAGGCUGGCCUCAGGCUCCUGGCCUCAAGUGAUCUGCCCACCUCAGCCUCCCAAAGUGCUGGGAUUACAGGCGUGAGCCACCACACCCAGCCUCUGGAUUUAUUUUUAACUUAAUCCAUACUUAUCACUUCCCUACAUACAUAUAACACACAAAUUGUGCUGUUUAUUUUCUGUCUCUCCCAGCUGGAAUACAGGCUCCAUGAGGGCGGGCAUUUUUAAAUCUUUUGUUCCCUGCUGUAUCCCCUUUGCCUGUAACAGUGCCUGGGCAGGAGGAUCGCUUCAGUCCAGGGUCCAGGCUGCAGUGAGCCAUAGUCAUGCCACUGCACUCCAGCCUGACCAACAGAGCAAGACCCUAUCUCAAAACAAAAAUAAAAACAAAACAACAGGAACAGUGCCUAGGACCCUGUAGGCACUUCAAUAAAUAUUUGUUGAAUGAAUACCUCCUGUCAUUCUGAGCUUUAUUUGUGGACAGUUUCCAUUGAGUCUAAUAUUUCAGGAUCAAAAUUUGCAGGUCCACAUUUUGUUGAGAACAUCAAAAACUUCCAUCAAUUUUCCCUCAACACAGUUUCAGGUUCACAGUUUUGGCUGCUGUCAGUUUAUUCUGUGGUGCUUAUGUUUAUUGGUAAUAGUCACUGUUAAUCUGGUAAGAUGUUCUAUUUUUAUUUUCUGGGUGAUGUCCUAUUAGAUUGAAGGAUAAAGGAGGCCAGUAUCUAUUAUGUGGGCAGAACAAAGUUGCGUCCAAAAUAUGAAAGUUCAAAGGUCCCUGGGGUCGAACAGUAGGGUGAAAACAUUGUAUUAAGGUCUCUGAUCACUCACACCAGCCUCUGCCCUCAUCCUGGGAAAUUCCUAAGGGCAGGGACCCUGAUAUCCGCCAGUGCCUGGCACACUGUUGGGGCUUGGCACUCAGUAGGCACUCCCUCCCUCUUCAUCCCAAUGUGGUCCUUAAAAGGUCAGUCAUCCCCAGCCUGGCCAACAUGGUGAAACCCUGUCUCUACUAAAAAAAAAAUACAAACAAAAUUAGCCGGGCGUGGUGGUGGGUGCCUGUAGUUCCAGCUACUCAGGAGGCUGAGGCAGGAGAAUCGUUUGAACCUGGGAGAAGGAGGUUGCAGAGAGCCGAGAUCAUGCCACUGCAUUCCAGCCUGGGCAACAGAGUGAGACCCUGUCUCAAGAAAAGAAAAAAAAAAAGGUUAGUCAUCCGCCAGAAUGGCUGCAGUGAAAAAGAUGGGAAAUGCCGAAUGAUGGGGAGUCAACUCUGGGAAAGUGUAGAUU
rnacentral:lncRNA from 10 species